rnacentral:rRNA from 1 species
GAUGAACGCUAGCGGCAGGCUUAACACAUGCAAGUCGAGGGGCAGCGCGGAGUAGCAAUACUCUGGCGGCGACCGGCGGAAGGGUGCGUAACACGUGAGCAACUUGCCCGUGACAGGGGGAUAAGCGAUGGAAACGUCGUCUAACAUCCCGUAACACGAGGGGAGGCAUCUCCCUUCGUUGAAAACUCCGGUGGUCACGGAUGGGCUCGCGGGACAUUAGCUAGUUGGCGGGGCAACGGCCCACCAAGGCGACGAUGUCUAGGGGUUCUGAGAGGAAGAUCCCCCACACUGGAACUGAGACACGGUCCAGACUCCUACGGGAGGCAGCAGUGAGGAAUAUUGGACAAUGGAGGCAACUCUGAUCCAGCCAUGCCGCGUGAAGGACGAAGGCCCUAUGGGUCGUAAACUUCUUUUGUCAGGGAGCAAUAAGGGCCACGCGUGGUCCGACGAGAGUAC